AUUGAACGCUGGCGGCAGGCCUAACACAUGCAAGUCGAGCGGAUGAAGGGAGCUUGCUCCUGGAUUCAGCGGCGGACGGGUGAGUAAUGCCUAGGAAUCUGCCUGGUAGCGGGGGAUAACGUCCGGAAACGGGCGCUAAUACCGCAUACGUCCUGAGGGAGAAAGUGGGGGGUCUUCGGACCUCACGCUAUCAGAUGAGCCUAGGUCGGAUUAGCUAGUUGGUGGGGUAAAGGCCUACCAAGGCGACGAUCCGUAACUGGUCUGAGAGGAUGAUCAGUCACACUGGAACUGAGACACGGUCCAGACUCCUACGGGAGGCAGCAGUGGGGAAUAUUGGACAAUGGGCGAAAGCCUGAUCCAGCCAUGCCGCGUGUGUGAAGAAGGUCUUCGGAUUGUAAAGCACUUUAAGUUGGGAGGAAGGGCAGUAAGUUAAUACCUUGCUGUUUUGACGUUACCAACAGAAUAAGCACCGGCUAACUUCGUG
rnacentral:rRNA from 1 species